rnacentral:rRNA from 1 species
GUCGAACGGUAACAGGAAGCAGCUUGCUGCUUUGCUGACGAGUGGCGGACGGGUGAGUAAUGUCUGGGAAACUGCCUGAUGGAGGGGGAUAACUACUGGAAACGGUAGCUAAUACCGCAUAACGUCGCAAGACCAAAGAGGGGGACCUUCGGGCCUCUUGCCAUCGGAUGUGCCCAGAUGGGAUUAGCUAGUAGGUGGGGUAAAGGCUCACCUAGGCGACGAUCCCUAGC